CGUGGGCCUGCUCCUCCCUUCUCUCCUCUCCUCCCCCGUGCCUGGUCAGUUUUGCGGACGAUGAGUGCCUUCUCAUUUAGACCUGACCUCCAGUGUCACCUCCUCAGGGAAGCCGUCUGUCCCUGCUUCACAGAGUGAAAAAGCAGGUCAUUGAAUAACCCAAGACAGCAAAAGCAGGAAAACUUUCUUCUGAAGUGCAGCUGCUGUUCCUCUGCACGUCGGCAAUGACAACAACGGUGGGGAUGGAAGUCUUUCUGUCAAUGCAAGGCCUGGAGCCGGCAGCCGGGGCGGAAGCUCUGGGGCUCCCGCAGCCCAGCCAAGCUGUCCACGGUGUGAGGCCGCUGCUCUUGGGUCGGUGGGGAGGGGACAGAGUGGCUGAAUCAGCAAAAUUCCUACGUAUCCUGGCUCCUCCUUUACCACUUUGGGACAGUCCCUUACGGCUAUCUGAGAGGUUGUUUUCCAGGCUAUCAUCCUCAGUAAGGUCCCUGAAUAAAACCUAAU
ensembl:lncRNA